GAUGAACGCUGGCGGCGUGCCUAAUACAUGCAAGUCGAGCGAACGGACGAGGAGCUUGCUGCUCUGAUGUUAGCGGCGGACGGGUGAGUAACACGUGGAUAACCUACCUAUAAGACUGGGAUAACUUCGGGAAACCGGAGAUAAUACCGGAUGAUAUUCUGAAGCGCAUGGGUCAAAAGUGAAAGACGGUCUUGCUGUCACUUAUAGAUGGAUCCGCGCUGCAUUAGCUAGUUGGUAAGGUAACGGCUUACGAAGGCAACAAUGCGUAACCGACCUGAGAGGGUGAUCGCCCACACGGGAACUGAGACACGGUCCAGACUCCUACGGGAGGCAGCAGUAGGGAAUCGUACGCAAUGGGCGAAAGCCUGACGGAGCAACGCCGCGUGAGUGAUGAAGGUCUUCGGAUCGUAAAACUCUGCUAUUAGUGAAGAACAUAUGUGUAAGGAACUGUGCACAUCUUGACGGUACCUAAUCAGAAAGCAACGGCUAACUACGUG
rnacentral:rRNA from 1 species